AGCGAACGCUGGCGGCAGGCCUAACACAUGCAAGUCGAGCGCCCGUAGCAAUACGGGAGCGGCAGACGGGAUAGUAACACGUGGGAACGUACCCUUCAGUUCGGAACAACCCAGGGAAACUUGGGCUAAUACCGAAUACGUCCGUAAGGAGAAAGAUUUAUCGCUGAAGGAUCGGCCCGCGUCUGAUUAGCUAGUUGGUGAGGUAAUGGCUCACCAAGGCGACGAUCAGUAGCUGGUCUGAGAGGAUGAUCAGCAUCACUGGGGACUGAGACACGGCCCAGACUCCUACGGGAGGCAGCAGUGGGGAAUAUUGGACAAUGGGCGCAAGCCUGAUCCAGCCAUGCCGCGUGGAUGAUGAAGGCCCUAGGGUUGUAAAGCUCUUUGUGCGGGAAGAUAAUGACGGUACCGCAAGAAUAAGCCCCGGCUAACUUCGUGCCAGCCGCCGCAGUAAC
rnacentral:rRNA from 1 species